UUCGAAGCCGGUUCCGAUUUUGACUGAUUUCAGUCUGGUUUUGACCGAACCUGUUCCAGUUCGGUUCCGGUUCAAAACCGGACUGUGGCCACCCCUACUAGUGGGUCAAUUAUCUUGCUCCUAGCUCAGCUCUGAUUUGUUUUGCGCUUCCCUGGACUGAGCAACUCUUAAACACAAGACCCUAAUGAUAAACUGUUAUAUACUGUGUCAUAUAAUACUCAAUUGUGUGCUACUUUCUCUUAAUUUUUUGGCCAUGAGAUUGAUACAUGUAGGAUUAUCAGAUUAUUCUUUAUGUUUGUGAGUGCUAUGUUUAUGUAUUACACAUAAAGUACUGAAGUAGAUCUGCAUUUUAUGA
rnacentral:misc_RNA from 1 species